GAUGAACGCUAGCGGCAGGCUUAACACAUGCAAGUCGAGGGGCAGCACAGGUAGCAAUACUGGGUGGCGACCGGCGCACGGGUGCGUAACGCGUAUGCAACCUACCCUGUACAGUGGGAUAACCCGGAGAAAUUCGGACUAAUACCGCAUAAAGAUAUACUGAGGCAUCUUGGGAUAUUUAAAGCUGAGGCGGUACGGGAUGGGCAUGCGUAACAUUAGCUAGUUGGCAGGGUAACAGCCUACCAAGGCAAUGAUGUUUAGGGGACCUGAGAGGGUGACCCCCCACACUGGUACUGAGACACGGACCAGACACCUACGGGAGGCAG
rnacentral:rRNA from 1 species